rnacentral:rRNA from 1 species
GCGGAUUAUCAAGUCUCUUGUGAAAUCCAACGGCUUAACCGUUGAACUGCUUGGGAAACUGGUAAUCUAGAGUGGGGGAGAGGCAGAUGGAAUUGGUGGUGUAGGGGUAAAAUCCGUAGAUAUCACCAAGAAUACCCAUUGCGAAGGCGAUCUGCUGGAACUUAACUGACGCUAAGGCGCGAAAGCGUGGGGAGCAAACAGGAUUAGAUACCCUGGUAGUCCACGCCCUAAACGAUGUAUGCUAGUUGUUGGGGUGCUAGUCAUCUCAGUAAUGCAGCUAACGCAUUAAGCAUACCGCCUGGGGAGUACGGUCGCAAGAUUAAAACUCAAAGGAAUAGACGGGGACCCGCACAAGCGGUGGAGCAUGUGGUUUAAUUCGAAGAUACGCGAAGAACCUUACCUGGGCUUGAUAUCCUAAGAACCUUAUAGAGAUAUGAGGGUGCUAGCUUGCUAGAACUUAGAGACAGGUGCUGCACGGCUGUCGUCAGCUCGUGUCGUGAGAUGUUGGGUUAAGUCCCGCAACGAGCGCAACCCACGUAUUUAGUUGCUAACACUUCGGGUGAGCACUCUAAAUAGACUGCCUUCGUAAGGAGGAGGAAGGUGUGGACGACGUCAAGUCAUCAUGGCCCUUAUGCCCAGGGCGACACACGUGCUACAAUGGCAUAUACAAUGAGACGCAAUACCGCGAGGUGGAGCAAAUCUAUAAAAUAUGUCCCAGUUCGGAUUGUUCUCUGCAACUCGAGAGCAUGAAGCCGGAAUCGCUAGUAAUCGUAGAUCAGCCAUGCUACGGUGAAUACGUUCCCGGGUCU